AUGGAGUCCAGCACAAAGACUCCAGAAGAGAGGCAUAGUAGGCAGUUUGAGGUUGCAAUUGAAGCCUCUUGUCAAUAUGGGUCAGGUUACAAGCCUCCUAGUGCACAUGAGCUGAGAGAGAAAUUGCUUAAUGAUUGUGUGAAGGAAACAAGACUUUUGAGGAGGCAACACGAGGCAGCAUGGAAAAAAUAUGGAUGCACACUCAUGUCGGAUGGCUGGUUGGAUAAAAGAGGACGCCAUUUGAUUAACUUCCUUGUUAAUAGUCCAGAGGGCACUUUCUUCUUGGAGUCGGUUGAUGCCUCAAGUGUAUGUCAUGAUGGUGAUAUGAUAGCUGAUUUGCUUGAGAAGAGGAUUCUGGAUGUUGGAAAAGAGAAUGUGGUACAAGUUAUCAUCGAUAAUGGUGCUAAUUACAAGAAAGAUGGCCACCUUCUAAUGGAGAGGAUGCCUACUCUAUAUUGGAGCCCGUGUGCAUGUCAUUGCUUGGACCUAAUGUUGGAAGAUAUAGGAAAGUUGAAGGCAUUUAAGAAGCCUAUUGCAGGGGCUAGACGUGUCACAACUUUCAUCUAUAGACAUGGAAGACUUCUUAGUCUAAUGAGGAAGGCCACGGGUGGGGAUCUUGUGAGACCAGCAGCCACUCGUUUUGCCACAGCCAUCCUCACACUUAGGAGUUUGGUCAAGAACAAGGCUGCAUUGAGGAGUUUAUUUACAUCUGAAGAAUGGGUUGGAAACAAGUUAGCAAAAACACAAGUUGGCUUGAAUGUGCAAGAGAUUAUACUUUCAACGGAGUGGUGGAGCGCAAUUGAGGACUGCCUUAGAGCUUCAACUCCACUUCUUAGAGUUCUUAGAGUAGCAGAUGGUGAUGAGAAGCCUGCCAUGCCAGAGAUUAAAGCACUUAUGAUUUAUGCAAAGGAGAGGAUCAAUCUAGGUUUCCCUCAACAAAACAAGCAACCAUUGCUCAAGAAGAUCUUGGCCAUUGUUGAUAAGCGUUGGGAGAAUCAAAUGGAUCAUCCAUUGUAUGGGGCUGCUCUAUUUUUGAACCCAGGAAAGUUAUUUCCUAUUGUAAGCAGAAAUGAUGAUGCUUUAGUUGGGGACCUUAGGAGCUGCUUUAAUGAUGUGCUUGCAAAAAUGGUACCGGAUGCCAAUGUUCGAAAAAAGAUUGAUCAACAAUCUGUGCUCUAUGAGCAACAGCGAGAAAGUUUUUCUAAUCCAUUGGCACUCGAUACCAUGAGCACAAGAAACCCUCUUGAUUGGUGGAGUUCAUUUGAUGGUCGGGCCAUUGACCUACAAAGGUUUGCAAAGCGCAUUGUUAGUCUUUGUGCUUCAUCAUCUGGUUGUGAGAGGAAUUGGAGCACGUUUGAAUUUAUCCAUACAAAGAAAAUGAACAGAUUACAAUGGAAAAGGUUGAAUGAUCUUGUCUUUGUUUCAUACAACCGGAAGAAUAUGCAACGGUUUCAAAAGAGGCGUGAGAAGGUGGGCGAGAAUAGCUUUGAGGCUUUGGUCAUUGAGGAUUUUGAUUGGGGCAAUGAGUGGGUGGACCCAUCACUAUCACAACCUCAAGGUGCUCGAGGUUGUCCUGAAGACAAUCAAGACAUUACAUGGGAGGAUGUUGAUGUGGCUAUUGGUGCAUCUUCAAACCUUCGAGGCCGCAAUCUGCAUAGGACAGCAACUACACUUCGUAGGGGCCAGAAAAAUGUCCGUCUGCACUACGCACGCAAGAGACCUACUACAACACGACCUAUAAUUCCUGAAGAAGAUGAGGUAGAGGAGGACUUGGAGCAAGAGCAACACUCAAGUAUGCCCAAUGCGGAGGGGGAGGAUUCAGACUACGUUGAGGAUGAUGAUGAUAUUGCAGUUGCACUCAUACUUGCUAUCUUUCUUUCCACUUUUGUUUGCUGCCUCACUUUUAUUUCUAUUUUUUGUGGAAUGUGCACUGAAUUCUGUUGGGGAGAAAAGCAAGUGCAAAGAGGAUGGGGGCUCUACAACAAUCAGUUGCAAGGUGAGAAGCAACUCAAAAGGUUGGGGCAUAUGACUUCAUCCGGCAUCGGCACCAAGUUGCACGUGAAACUUUGGUUUUUCCUGGCUUCGAUCUUUAUCAGGCAUAGAAUUGGCUGA
rnacentral:rRNA from 1 species